AAAGUCUUUGAGGCUUUGCAGGUGUGGCUGCUGUGUUAAUGUGUAUCAGCAGGUGGCAGAGAUGAGAAAGGCUAUGUCUAUGCUCAUUGUUCUGACCUGUGAACAUCUGAAUGAUUAGUAGCCUAACAUU